UACGUAGGGUGCAAGCGUUGUCCGGAAUUAUUGGGCGUAAAGAGUGCGCAGGCGGUUUGUCAAGUCAGCUGUGAAAUCUCGGGGCUCAACCCCGGGCCUGCAGUCGAUACGGGCAGACUAGAGUGCUGUAGGGGAGACUGGAAUUCCUGGUGUAGCGGUGAAAUGCGCAGAUAUCAGGAGGAACACCGGUGGCGAAGGCGGGUCUCUGGGCAGUAACUGACGCUGAGGAGCGAAAGCGUGGGGAGCGAACAGG
rnacentral:rRNA from 1 species